rnacentral:rRNA from 1 species
GCAGCCGCGGUAAUACAGAGGUCUCAAGCGUUGUUCGGAAUCACUGGGCGUAAAGGGUACGUAGGCUGCCGGAUAAGUCGUGCGUGAAAGGCAGGGGCUCAACCUCUGGAGUGCGCAUGAUACUGUUUGGCUGGAGUGAUGGAGGGGGAACUGGAAUUCUUGGUGUAGCAGUGAAAUGCGUAGAUAUCAAGAAGAAGACUCGUGGCGAAGGCGAGUUCCUGGACAUUCACUGACGCUGAGGUACGAAGGCUAGGGUAGCGAAAGGGAUUAGAUACCCC